rnacentral:rRNA from 1 species
UAGGGAAUCUUCCGCAAUGGGCGAAAGCCUGACGGAGCAACGCCGCGUGAGUGAUGAAGGUCUUCGGAUCGUAAAACUCUGUUAUUAGGGAAGAACAAAUGUGUAAGUAACUAUGCACGUCUUGACGGUACCUAAUCAGAAAGCCACGGCUAACUACGUGCCAGCAGCCGCGGUAAUACGUAGGUGGCAAGCGUUAUCCGGUAUUAUUGGGCGUAAAGCGCGCGUAGGCGGUUUUUUAAGUCUGAUGUGAAAGCCCACGGCUCAACCGUGGAGGGUCAUUGGAAACUGGAAAACUUGAGUGCAGAAGAGGAAAGUGGAAUUCCAUGUGUAGCGGUGAAAUGCGGAGAGAUAUGGCGGAACACCAGUGGCGAAGGCGACUUUCUGGUCUGUAACUGACGCUGAUGUGCGAAAGCGUGGGGAUCAAACAGG